GACGUAGGGCGCGAGCGUUGUCCGGAUUAUUGGGCGUAAAGAGCUCGUAGGCGGCUUGUUGCGUCAGCUGUGAAAACCCGCAGCUCAACUGUGGGCUUGCAGCUGAUACGGGCAGGCUUGAGUUCGGUAGGGGAGACUGGAAUUCCUGGUGUAGCGGUGAAAUGCGUAGAUAUCAGGAGGAACACCGGUGGUGUAGACGGCUCUCUGGACCAUUACUGACGCUGAGACACGAAAGCGUGGGGAGCGAACAG
rnacentral:rRNA from 1 species